rfam:Gossypium raimondii chromosome 6, whole genome shotgun sequence.
GGGUGUGAUCAUACCAGUAGUAAUGCACCGGAUCCCAUUAGAACUCCGCAGUUAAUCGUGCUUGCGGGAGAGUAGUACUAGGAUGGGUGACCUUCCUGGGAAGUCCUCGUGUUGCAACCC